CAAUCCUGCUGCAUAUUGGUCCUCCUUUUCCGACGAUGAUUUCGCUAUAUCGUCUGACGACGAUGACAGCCGUGACACGAUUUCUCAUAAGCAGCUUCCAAGACACGGUAUGUGACAGGACUGUGGCCUGCCUGGGAGUGGAGGACCAGUGCUUUAGUGCCAGUGCAAUACCUGGCUCUACCAAUUCUACCACGGUGAAUCUCCAGGGCUGUACAACUUCCACCGUGUGCAACGCUAUUGAUCAACUGCUGCCCUUAGGGAAGACCAUGAGUGACAUCACCACUGUGAAUUUUACCUGUAAGACAGCCCUUAACACAGCCUGGUCCAUCACACUGAGCCUUGUCCCUCUGCUACUGGGCCUCACCAUCAGCAAAUUAAUCUGAUAUAAACAGAGAUGAACAUAUUGGGACUCAUCUGACAACAUAAUGCAUUGAUUAGAAAAAAGAAAAUGUACAAUGAUUUUCAUGUAUUGUGAAAGAUGUACUUCAAGUGAAAUGAUGCUAUAUGGAAUUUGCCAGAUGAUGCCCUGUUACAUUAUAUAGUGUUCUUGUUUGAUGGAAUAGUUUCCUAUAUACUGUAUUACUCUGCACACUGAGUGAAUAAAACAUUAAGAACACCUUCUCUUUCCACAACAGACUGACCAGGUGAAUCCAGGUGAAAGCUAUGAUCCCUUAUUGAUGUCACUUGUUAAAUCCACGUCAAUCAGUGUAGAUUAAGGGGAGGAUACAGAAGGAUUUUUAAGGCUUGAGAAAUGGAUUGUGGUUGUGUCAUUCAGAAGGGGGAAUGGGCAAGACAAAAGAUUUAAGUGCCUUUGAACAGGGUAUGGUAGCAUGUGCCAGGCGCACCGGUUUGGGUCAAGAACUGCAACGCUGCUGGAUUUUUCACACUUAACAGUUUCCGUGCGUAUCAAGAAUGGUCCACCACCCAAAGGACAUCCAGCCAGCUUGACACAACUAUGGAAAGUAUUGGAGUCAAUAAUGGCAAGCAUCCAUGUGGAACGCUUUCGACACCUUGUAGAGUCUAUGCCCCGAAAAUUUUUGAAAUUUCAGAUGCCAGUGCAACUCAAUUUAUUGUAAUUUCAAUUCUAUUUAACCUUUAUUUAACUAGGCAAGUCAGUUAAGAACAAAUUCUUAUUUACAACGACUGCCUACCCCGGCCAAACCCGGACAACGCUGGGCAAAUUGUGUGCCACCCUAUGGGACCAAUCACGGCCAGAUGUGAUAAGGCCUGGAUCGAAGCAGGGACUGUAGUGACGCCUCUUGCACUGAGAUGCAGUGCCUUAGACCGCUGCGCCACUCUGGAGACAAAAUAUUAGGAAGCUGUUCGUAAUGUUUGCUAAACUAACUGUACAUUCUAUCAAGUGUGCAUUCCUAAAAGUUGAAAACAAAUCAUAUUUUUCCAUGCCAGUAAAGUUUAUAUCACUCUACCAAAAUAUAAAUAAUGUCAUCUUAUUGUGAAAUCACACAAAAAUGUUUUAGUAGGAUUGUAGGCUUAUUUUUUACAGAUAAGGAUAAUAACACUAUUAAAUCCAAAUAAUAACAGAGUGUAUGGGGGAACCAUGACCUACACUUAUUC
rnacentral:lncRNA from 1 species